rnacentral:ncRNA from 1 species
CUAACUUUCUAACACAAGGUCUUGGUCUUAAACCUCUUAUUGUCUAAACUCCUUACUUAUACAUGCAUGCCUCAACACAACAGUGAAGUAGCCCACCACAACCACCAUAUCGGAGCUGGUAUCAGGUGACCACCCAUGACGCCAAGCAACCAGCCACACCCCCACGGGUCCACAGCAGUAAUUAAUAUUGGGCCAUAAGCGUAAGCUUGACCCAAUAAUAGAGCCCAUAGAGCCGGUUAAUCUCGUGCCAGCGACCGCGGUUACACGACAGACUCAAGACAACACUACCGGCGUAAAACACGACUAAAACCCUAAGUUUAUUAUUUAGAAAUAAAAAUGACCCGGGCCGUAAAAAGCCAUAAGCUACACUAAACACACAUUCUAAUACUCAACAACUUCAACUCGUGAAAGCCAGGACACAAACUAAGAUUAGAUACCUUACUAUGCCCGGCCAUAACAAAACAAUCAAAUAACCAAUUGUUCGCCAAAUAACUACGAGUAAAAACUUAAAAUUUAAAAGACUUGACGGUACUUCACACCAACCUAGAGGAGCCUGUCUAAUAACCGAUAAUCCACGAUUAACCCAACCCGCUCUAGCGGAACAGUCUAUAUACCGCCGUCGCCAGCUUACCUUAUGAAAGAAACAAAGUAAACCAAACAACUACCCCGCUAACACGACAGGUCGAGGUGUAACUAAUGAGCUGGAACAAGAUGGGCUACAUUUUCUAACCUAGAAAAAACGAACAGCCUAUGAAACUAGAAACCGAAGGUGGAUUUAGCAGUAAGUUGAGAAUAAACACACCCCACUGAAAUUAACGCAAUGAAGUGCGCACACACCGCCCGUCAUCCCUGUAAAACCCACAAACCCAUUCAUAAACUCACUAUUAUCUCAAAGCAGGGCAAGUCGUAACAAGGUAAGCGUACUG